AUACGGAGGGUGCGAACGUUAAUGGGAAUUACUGGGCGUAAAGCGCGCGUAGGCGGUUCGGUAAGUGGGAUGUGAAAGCCCUGGGCUCAACCUGGGAACUGCAUUCCAAACUGCCGGGCUAGAGUAUGGUAGAGGGAGGUAGAAUUUCCUGUGUAGCGGUGAAAUGCGUAGAUAUAGGAAGGAAUACCGAUGGCGAAGGCAGCCUCCUGGACCAAUACUGACGCUGAGGUGCGAAAGCGUGGGGAGCAAACAGGAUUAGAAACCCGGGUAGUCC
rnacentral:rRNA from 1 species